rnacentral:rRNA from 1 species
AUGGGCCCUCUUGUGGUAGACCCACAUGUCAUCGGUGUAACUAGUUACACUCCGGAGGACGAUGCCUAUAUCCUGGUAGUAGUACUAGUAGAAAUGAGAUUUAAUGCACUUUCUUCCCCAUCUUCCACUCUUCUUCCUCCUCUCUUCUUCUUCCUCCUCUCUUCCCCAUCGUCGGCCGCACACCAUUUACCCCCGCUCACUGCUCUCCCGCCCGCGCCAUCUUCCUUGGUAGCUCGCGCGUACCAUAUCCCCCCGCUCACUACUCGGCCACACGAGGAGAAGCUUCUUCGCUCGCCCGCCCGAAUCUACUUCCCUGCUAUACCAUAUAACUGGAAUUACCGAUGCAAGUCGAAGAAGGAUUGGCCGGUGCUGCCGGCUGGCGUCAAGUUCGAUCCCAUGGAUCAGGAGCUGAUCGAGCACCUUGAGGCCAAAGUGAGUGUUGACAGCACGAGAUUUCAGUCUCUCAUCGAUUUGUUCAUACCAACCAUCGACAGCGAGCACGACAUAUGCUACACCCAACCUGAGAAACUUCCAGAUGUUAUGAAAAUGCCAACUAGACGGACAACAAAAAAGGUUCUGGUGCUGCACACCAACAAGAACUUCGACCAGCAUAGGACUAACUGGGUGAUGCACCAGUACCACAUCGGGGACCUGGAGCAAGAGAAGGAGCGGGAGCUAGUCCUCUGCAAGAUUUUCUACCAGAUGAACACUAGGGCCAGGAGCCCAGGAGUAGUUUGGUCGAGCAAGUUUCAACUGGGCUGUAGACUGACCAGGGUUGGUUUUGUUUUUAACAGGCCCAGCCCAUGA